AGACCUCAGGUCAGGCGGGGCUACCCGCUGAGUUUAAGCAUAUCAAUAAGCGGAGGAAAAGAAACUAAGAAGGAUUCCCUUAGUAACGGCGAGCAAACCGGGAACAGCCCACCAUGAGAAUCGGUCACCCCUGGCGUUCGAAUUGUAG
rnacentral:rRNA from 1 species